rnacentral:rRNA from 1 species
AGCGGAUGAGUUGUGGAUAGGGGUGAAAUGCCAAUCGAACUCGGAGCUAGCUGGUUCUCCCCGAAAUGUGUUUAGGCGCAGCGGUUAGUUGUAUAAAUUAGGGGUAAAGCACUGUUUCGAUACGGGCCAGUAAUUCGGUACUAAAUCGAGGCAAACUAUGAAUACUAUAUAAAAGACUAACCAGUAAGACUAUGGGGGAUAAGCUCCAUAGUCAAGAGGGAAACAGCCCAGACCACCAGUUAAGGCCCCUAAAUAAUUACUAAGUGAUAAAGGAAGUGAAAAGAUUUUGACAGUCAGGAGGUUUGCUUAGAAGCAGCAAUCCUUUAAAGAGUGCGUAAUAGCUUACUGAUCUAGUAAUUUUGCGCCGAAAAUGAACGGGGCUAAGUAAUUUGCCGAAACUGUGGGAUAUUUUAAUAUAUCGGUAGGGGAGCGUUCUAUUUUAGGUUGAAGUAUUAACGUAAGUGGAUAUGGACAAAAUAGAAGUGAGAAUGUCGGCUUGAGUAGCGAAAACAUUGGUGAGAAUCCAAUGCCCCGUAAACCUAAGGUUUCCUCUGCUAGGUUCGUCCUCGGAGGGUAAGUCAGGACCUAAGGCGAGGUUGAAAAGCGUAGUCGAUGGAUAAUGAGUUAAUAUUCUUAUACUAUCAUUUGUUGGCAACAGGGGACGAAGGUUGCUAAAUUAGCCGAAUUUUGGUUAUCGGUUCAAACAUACAAGGCUAUGAGAAGUGGAGAAAACACUUUGAGCGUAGGUGUGAGUACGAUAUUAAUUUAUAAAUUAAUAAGUAAUUAAUGCUAAACUUCCAAGAAAAGCCUGCACUGUCAUAAACAAAUGAUACCUGUACUAUAAACUGACACAAGUGGGUGAGUAAAGUAUACUAAGGGGCGCGAGAUAACUCUCCCUAAGGAACUCGGCAAAAUAACUCCGUAACUUCGGGAGAAGGAGUACCUUUUAUUUUAAAGGUUACAAUAACAAGGUCCAAACGACUGUUUACCAAAAACACAGGUCUCCGCUAAAUUUAAAAAUAAUGUAUGGGGGCUGACGCCUGCCCAGUGCCAGAAGGUUAAGGAAACAUGUUAAUUAAAUUUUAAUAAAGCUAGUAACUGAAGCCCUGGUGAACGGCGGCCGUAACUAUAACGGUCCUAAGGUAGCGAAAUUCCUUGUCGGGUAAGUUCCGACCUGCACGAAAGGCGUAACGAUUU